UCAGGCUGAUGGAGUGAGUGACGGCAUGAGUUGCCAACUAUAGUUAUUCCGCUCAGUACAGAAUGCCUGUGGGGAAUAGAAUCAGGCAUGCCCAAAACAAUCUUCCCAGGGCGAAACAAAUACCUUUGAGGUUUAAAUCAGAAACUACACGAUUUUUGUUGCCAUAUUUUGUUAGAAAGGAAGGAGAGGCUGUUUCUACAGGUGUCAUAGAAAAAUCAAUACUGAGCCACGGCUUAUUGCCUCCCAUAGAACCAUGGACUUGGCAGUGAAAUUCUUCCAAAGUUUCUUCUAGAUUUUUCAAAGUUGAAAAGCUAUGCAUAACGCAUUGGUUGUUUUACCGCACUGCUUAGCAUUCCAUUCAUGCAGGCAGACGGUGUUCUUAGGUUUGGAAAUAUAAAUCCCAGGAGGAGUAAGCUGAAGAACAUUUUAUGCAUCACUCAUUCUAUUAUGAGCCCUCUGCUGUUCCAUCUCUCUACAAGACUGGCUGAAGCAACGGCAACAAUUGUUUCCAAUUUGUACUCUAAUUUUGGAUUAUCUAGUUAAUAUCCUGACUCUGAUUAUCUUGCAAGACUGUUAGAAGGCUGCUACUACAUUAUUAAUAAAAUAACAGGGAAAAUGCAACAUUCUGGAGGUCCCACCUGAUGGGUUGGCGGCUGAACAAAAACAGAGCAGUAAGAUUUCCUGACUACAUUUUCUCAGGGCCAUCCACUGGGAGUUAAGCUGACUAACGCUGUGAAAGCCCAGCCCAUUUCGAUAACAGCAGGCAUGGCAGAAACUUCCAGAGGACCAGCCUCAGCUCCCCAAAGUGGCCCAAGGCGAUGUUACUUUCAAACACAGAAGUCUGAAUAACCCAUCAAUGGAUGAUGAAAUCAACAUACUAGAUCAUAAGUUGAUUAAAAGAAAAAAAUUAAGAGAAAGAAUAUCAAAGUGUAUUGCCCAUAGUAAGACAGGCCGGAAGGCGGAAAUGAAAUGAAUAUACGUAUGAGACUUAAUUAAACAUAUUCAAGUGAUGAAAGGAUUAAGAAGGCCUGUCGCAAGGGCCAGAGGAAGACCAUUGGUCGCACAUCGAUAAAGGCAUCUGUAGCGGAGUAUGGCUUAGUGGUCUGCUGGAUCCACAGUGGAUACUUCAGCGUGGUUCUCCAUGGACAGUGUUUCCAAGUCUAGAUGGCUUUGUUCUUACUGACUGCUUCCAUCCUUAAAAAAUUCCACACCUAUGCAUUGUAUUUAUAUAGUAAACAACUCAUUGUGAUGUGUGGCACUGGCAUGCUGUGCCCUAGAAAAAGAGCAGCCUUAGGUGAUUCUGCUCUGAGAUGGAAUUUGUGCCUGCAAGGAGCAGAACCCAGCUGGUGCCCACUUUGGAAAAUAAAAGGAAGAGCACUGAGAUUCCUCAAGGUGUCGGUUCCUCCAGUGGUUGACUGAUUGUACCCGCCAGCUGGCUAAUAUCAUAAUUAACAAAGUUGCUACUACGUUUGUAAAGUUUAAUCGAAAAAUUUGCCAAUGAUAUGAUGGCAUUGUCACAGAGAUCACAAGGGACACGUUGUCGACUUUUGCUCAAGGUGGACCGGCAAAGCAGUAUAGGCAAGAUGAGAAAUUCUAAACUUGUUCAGCCAAAGGUUAUGUAUGCUUCAUAUCACCCACCAGGGAGGAUCAUCUCUCAUGAAAACUUUCAAAUUUGAUUUUGAAAAUUAUUCAGAAAAAUUUAAGCCAUGCUCUCUCCCAAUGUAGGAAAGAAUAUGCUCUAGAGAUUCCUAUAAUUCAAAGGAAAUGGACUGGGAUAACAUCUGAGUUCUCAUGCUACCAAAAUCUUCUUGAACAGGAGGCUAAUAAUGAAGGGGCCGGGGAAGGAGGCCAGUGCUACGAGGGUUAUCUCACAGCCUCAGAUGCUGGAUAAGUCGAAGGAGGCAGAAUCGCUUUUGGAUGACAUUCAGAAAGGCCGGAGUGAUUAUUUGGAAGAGAAAAGCUUGCCUAUUCUUUUCCAAGGUGCGCGAAUAUUCCCCUGGCCUGCCCGUCCACCGAUGAAUUACUCUCAACCUGCCUUAGACAAAGGAUGCACUCAGAACCUCACCACACCUAAAGCCAUGCUUUGAAGGAUCUGCCAAGCUCACUUUUAAUCAUGAGAAAGAAAUUACCCACAUGGAGUCAGCAGAAAAUGAGAAAGUAGAGCUCGUGCUGCGAAUAAUUCCAGCAAGUGCCAAGGGGCUAGUUGAAGAAUGGCUCCAUGAGGUGAAUAUCUUUAGCUUGUACUUAGGGUUUGGCUAGCGUAUAAUCAUUUUCUCUUUUAGGAGCGAUGAC